AGCGAACGCUGGCGGCAGGCUUAACACAUGCAAGUCGAGCGGGCAUAGCAAUAUGUCAGCGGCAGACGGGUGAGUAACGGGUGGGAACGUACCUUUUGGUUCGGAACAACUGAGGGAAACUUCAGCUAAUACCGGAGAAGCCCUUACGGGGAAAGAUUUAUCGCCGGAAGAUCGGCCCGCGUCUGAUUAGCUAGUUGGUGAGGUAAUGGCUCACCAAGGCGACGAUCAGUAGCUGGUCUGAGAGGAUGAUCAGCCACAUUGGGACUGAGGCACGGCCCACACUCCUACGGGAGGCAGCAGUGGGGAAUAUUGGACAAUGGGCGCAAGCCUGAUCCAGCCGUGCCGCGUGAGUGAUGAAGGCCCUAGGGUUGUAAAGCUCUUUUGUGCGGGAAGAUAAUGACGGUACCGGAAGAAUAAGCCCCGGCUAACUUCGUG
rnacentral:rRNA from 1 species